rnacentral:sRNA from 1 species
UCCGAGAGGGCCCUCACCCGAAGUAUUGC